AUGGGGUCAUGCGUGCUAGUGAUGCUGAUGAAGGGCGAGGACGUGCAUGUGAUGAAUAUCGGGGACAGUCGUGUCGUGUUGGCGAGGAGGCGGGACCCCGAUCUUAAUAACAUCCUCGGCAAAGCAACACCGAAGGAUCUGCAGCAGUUGAAGGCCGAGAUCAUGGAUGGCCUACAGUCUGUGCAGUUCAAUGAUGAACACAAUACCUCUGUUGAGGAGGAGGUAAAGAGGAUCACAGUUGAACAUACUGAUAGCAAUGCGAUCAUCCACGGCAGAGUGAAGGGGAAACUCAACAUCACCAGAGCAUUCGGGGCUGGCUACCUGAAGGAGCCAAAGUGGAACAGUGUGUUGUUACCGUCCUUCAAGAUUGAUUACAUCGGCAAGGGCCCCUACAUAAUUUGCAUCCCAUCACUCCACCACUACCGUAUCGGUCCAAACGACCAAUUCCUAGUGUUGUCGUGUGGCGGGCUCUAUCAGUAUUUCACCAACAAAGAGGUGGUUGAUGAGGUAGAGAUGUUCACAGCUGUGUAUCCCAAGGGCAAUCCUACUGAGCAUCUCGUUAGAGAAUUGGUACUUCGGGCUGCAAGGAAGUCUGGUAUGGACUACCAUGAACUGCUCAACAUAUCCCAUGACAAAAGGAGGAGGUACCAUGAUGAUGUUUCCGUCAUCAUGAUCUCGUUCAAGGGGAGGAUGUGGAGAUCCCCCGUUUAG
rnacentral:rRNA from 1 species